rnacentral:rRNA from 1 species
GGGUUGUGAGGUUAAGCGACUAAGCGUACACGGUGGAUGCCCUGGCAGUCAGAGGCGAUGAAGGACGUGCUAAUCUGCGAUAAGCGUCGGUAAGGUGAUAUGAACCGUUAUAACCGGCGAUUUCCGAAUGGGGAAACCCAGUGUGAUUCGUCACACUAUCAUUAACUGAAUCCAUAGGUUAAUGAGGCGAACCGGGGGAACUGAAACAUCUAAGUACCCCGAGGAAAAGAAAUCAACCGAGAUUCCCCCAGUAGCGGCGAGCGAACGGGGAGCAGCCCAGAGCCUGAAUCAGUGUGUGUGUUAGUGGAAGCGUCUGGAAAGGCGCGCGAUACAGGGUGACAGCCCCGUACACAAAAAUGCACAUACUGUGAGCUCGAUGAGUAGGGCGGGACACGUGGUAUCCUGUCUGAAUAUGGGGGGACCAUCCUCCAAGGCUAAAUACUCCUGACUGACCGAUAGUGAACCAGUACCGUGAGGGAAAGGCGAAAAGAACCCCGGCGAGGGGAGUGAAAAAGAACCUGAAACCGUGUACGUACAAGCAGUGGGAGCACGCUUAGGCGUGUGACUGCGUACCUUUUGUAUAAUGGGUCAGCGACUUAUAUUCUGUAGCAAGGUUAACCGAAUAGGGGAGCCGAAGGGAAACCGAGUCUUAACUGGGCGUUAAGUUGCAGGGUAUAGACCCGAAACCCGGUGAUCUAGCCAUGGGCAGGUUGAAGGUUGGGUAACACUAACUGGAGGACCGAACCGACUAAUGUUGAAAAAUUAGCGGAUGACUUGUGGCUGGGGGUGAAAGGCCAAUCAAACCGGGAGAUAGCUGGUUCUCCCCGAAAGCUAUUUAGGUAGCGCCUCGUGAAUUCAUCUCCGGGGGUAGAGCACUGUUUCGGCAAGGGGGUCAUCCCGACUUACCAACCCGAUGCAAACUGCGAAUACCGGAGAAUGUUAUCACGGGAGACACACGGCGGGUGCUAACGUCCGUCGUGAAGAGGGAAACAACCCAGACCGCCAGCUAAGGUCCCAAAGUCAUGGUUAAGUGGGAAACGAUGUGGGAAGGCCCAGACAGCCAGGAUGUUGGCUUAGAAGCAGCCAUCAUUUAAAGAAAGCGUAAUAGCUCACUGGUCGAGUCGGCCUGCGCGGAAGAUGUAACGGGGCUAAACCAUGCACCGAAGCUGCGGCAGCGACGCUUAUGCGUUGUUGGGUAGGGGAGCGUUCUGUAAGCCUGUGAAGGUGUACUGUGAGGUAUGCUGGAGGUAUCAGAAGUGCGAAUGCUGACAUAAGUAACGAUAAAGCGGGUGAAAAGCCCGCUCGCCGGAAGACCAAGGGUUCCUGUCCAACGUUAAUCGGGGCAGGGUGAGUCGACCCCUAAGGCGAGGCCGAAAGGCGUAGUCGAUGGGAAACAGGUUAAUAUUCCUGUACUUGGUGUUACUGCGAAGGGGGGACGGAGAAGGCUAUGUUGGCCGGGCGACGGUUGUCCCGGUUUAAGCGUGUAGGCUGGUUUUCCAGGCAAAUCCGGAAAAUCAAGGCUGAGGCGUGAUGACGAGGCACUACGGUGCUGAAGCAACAAAUGCCCUGCUUCCAGGAAAAGCCUCUAAGCAUCAGGUAACAUCAAAUCGUACCCCAAACCGACACAGGUGGUCAGGUAGAGAAUACCAAGGCGCUUGAGAGAACUCGGGUGAAGGAACUAGGCAAAAUGGUGCCGUAACUUCGGGAGAAGGCACGCUGAUAUGUAGGUGAAGUCCCUCGCGGAUGGAGCUGAAAUCAGUCGAAGAUACCAGCUGGCUGCAACUGUUUAUUAAAAACACAGCACUGUGCAAACACGAAAGUGGACGUAUACGGUGUGACGCCUGCCCGGUGCCGGAAGGUUAAUUGAUGGGGUUAGCGCAAGCGAAGCUCUUGAUCGAAGCCCCGGUAAACGGCGGCCGUAACUAUAACGGUCCUAAGGUAGCGAAAUUCCUUGUCGGGUAAGUUCCGACCUGCACGAAUGGCGUAAUGAUGGCCAGGCUGUCUCCACCCGAGACUCAGUGAAAUUGAACUCGCUGUGAAGAUGCAGUGUACCCGCGGCAAGACGGAAAGACCCCGUGAACCUUUACUAUAGCUUGACACUGAACAUUGAGCCUUGAUGUGUAGGAUAGGUGGGAGGCUUUGAAGUGUGGACGCCAGUCUGCAUGGAGCCGACCUUGAAAUACCACCCUUUAAUGUUUGAUGUUCUAACGUUGACCCGUAAUCCGGGUUGCGGACAGUGUCUGGUGGGUAGUUUGACUGGGGCGGUCUCCUCCUAAAGAGUAACGGAGGAGCACGAAGGUUGGCUAAUCCUGGUCGGACAUCAGGAGGUUAGUGCAAUGGCAUAAGCCAGCUUGACUGCGAGCGUGACGGCGCGAGCAGGUGCGAAAGCAGGUCAUAGUGAUCCGGUGGUUCUGAAUGGAAGGGCCAUCGCUCAACGGAUAAAAGGUACUCCGGGGAUAACAGGCUGAUACCGCCCAAGAGUUCAUAUCGACGGCGGUGUUUGGCACCUCGAUGUCGGCUCAUCACAUCCUGGGGCUGAAGUAGGUCCCAAGGGUAUGGCUGUUCGCCAUUUAAAGUGGUACGCGAGCUGGGUUUAGAACGUCGUGAGACAGUUCGGUCCCUAUCUGCCGUGGGCGCUGGAGAACUGAGGGGGGCUGCUCCUAGUACGAGAGGACCGGAGUGGACGCAUCACUGGUGUUCGGGUUGUCAUGCCAAUGGCACUGCCCGGUAGCUAAAUGCGGAAGAGAUAAGUGCUGAAAGCAUCUAAGCACGAAACUUGCCCCGAGAUGAGUUCUCCCUGAC